rnacentral:rRNA from 1 species
GGCUCAGGAUGAACGCUGGCGGCGUGCUUAACACAUGCAAGUCGAACGGACUUUUAAUGAAACCUAGUGAUUAAAGUUAGUGGCGGACGGGUGAGUAACACGUGAGCAAUCUGCCUUCAGAGGGGGAUACCAGUUGGAAACGACUGUUAAUACCGCAUAACAUAUCGAGAUCGCAUGAUAUUGAUAUCAAAGAUUUAUCGCUGAAAGAUGAGCUCGCGUCUGAUUAGAUAGUUGGUGAGGUAACGGCUCACCAAGUCGACGAUCAGUAGCCGGACUGAGAGGUUGAACGGCCACAUUGGGACUGAGACACGGCCCAGACUCCUACGGGAGGCAGCAGUGGGGAAUAUUGCACAAUGGGCGAAAGCCUGAUGCAGCAACGCCGCGUGAGGGAAGACGGCCUUCGGGUUGUAAACCUCUGUCCUCAGUGACGAAGAAAGUGACGGUAGCUGAGGAGGAAGCCACGGCUAACUACGUG